rnacentral:lncRNA from 1 species
AAACCACGACAAUAGAAACUCUAUUGUGACUCAAGUGAAAACCAUGGCAUUCAUCAUUGAUGAAGCUUACAGAGUUACUGGCUUCAAGCUCACCAUGCAUGACAAGGGAAAAUGUUAACUGGGGCCAGUGAGAAAGGAUGCCUUACAUUGAGAGAUGAUCCCAUUUAGGAUUGAGGCGAGAGUCCGACCUGGUGGAAGCACAGAAGACCCAAUAGGGCAAGUGGCCCCAAAGCCGUGCCGUGGUACACAAAGAGCCAGACGAGGGCUACACCAAGGGGCAUGAGCAAAGGAGUCCAACGCCAGGAAGCAGGGCCGACAGAGACCCGCGUCCAGAUGCUAGCUGCAAAGGGCAAUUUGGCAGGAUCCGGGGCCUGAAACGGCAGGCUGAGGGGAAGUACCCCCAGCACAACUGGAGCACCCGGAUCCUCUGCCCGGGACGGUCCAC